AUCUUGACUUUGUCUGUGGCUUUUGAAUAACUCUACACUAUUUGAAAAAUAAAUAUUUAUCUUCAUGCUGUCUCUAUGAUUUUACCAUCAGGUUUAACAAAGUCAGUGAUGUUCGUGACUAAUGUCCAAGCAAACUAAGUUUACUUGCAUAUCAAGGAUACUCAGCUAGUGUUUAAUGUGUACUGUUUCCCAAAUGUUAAGUUUAAAAAAAAAUCUGAGUCUAAUUUAACAAUUGUCUCUGCUGUAUUAGCAUAGCAUACAGAUGGCUUGGGGCCAUUAUAUUUAACAUGAUUUUCUACACCUAAUAUCAUGCCAGAAUGUAGUAAUUUAAGGUCAGUGUCAAAAGAAUUUCCCGGUAGAGUAGAAACAUUUGCACUUUUUUACAAAAUGGGAAUCGUCGAAGACUGUUAGUGUGCCAGAGGUCCAUUUAACUUCCUUUAUUUGCAGCUCUUCAUCAGGCUGAACAAGCAGUGCAGCCAAAGUGCAUCACUGUCUUCUAAUUUGUAUUAAAUAAUGUACUAGCAACUUGUUUGCAAGUGCACAAGUGGAUGAGUAAACGCAUGGAUGGAUGAGGAACAGCCUGAAGCACUCACACAAAAGAUAUGAGCACUGCUUAUACUAAUGCAUACAUGAAUACUCCUGGCAUUGACAGCUGUAUCCAUGAAUUUUAACUUUUCUGACUUAUGGUUAUUGCAUUUAGAAAUUAUGCUGCAGAGUUUGGCCCUGGGCAGUGGGUACCUCCAUGGGUUUCUGAAAACAUUCCCCACUCUGCUGCUCAACACUGUUAGCCUGUGUUGCUCUCUGGAGGCUCUGGGCUGAUCAGUAAACAGACUGACCUGAUUCUGAUGCCCUGCCUCUAGUUAUUCAGUCCACAAUCGUUGAGCAUAGAGCUUGUUUCAUGAACACACAGCCACUACAUUGUCUUGGUAUUUAGCUGGCCACUCCCCCUCCAUUUUUCUUCCAUUCGACAAACCGCCACAGUAAAGAUAAAUGUUCCUUUGACCAAGAGACUACAAGUUGGUGUAUAUUAAGCAAGCAGAGAUUACUACCACUGCAGUUUAAUUCAAUGGAGCCAUUUGGCUUUCUCUAAGAACAGUGAGCCUGGCUUUUUACAAAUGAACCCAUUUAUAGAUAACCACGAGCUUCCAUGGUCGUAUUAAGACAAAAAGGAAAUACUUUUUUGACAUGUUGCUAUAAGUCUAUCAAUGAUAUCAGUUGAAUUUGGUGGAGAGGAAAGACAGAAAGAGAGGAAAAACUGAAAUGGGAAACAAAAAACAAACUGGAGUUCAUUGGUUGACAAGUUUAACUAAUACCUGUUUAUCAGUACCUGCAAGUAAUAAGAGUUUAAUCAAAGCCCACCAAGACCAAUGUCAGCAUCAAAAUAUUAUAGUCCAUAAAAAAGUAUUAAAUCAAAGAAAUGUAAUUUUGCCAUCAUUUUGAAAUAGCAUUGUACAUAAGAUAGAUAAAGAGACUUUCCUAGGAUUGCAAAUGAUCCACAAUUGUCUGAUCUAAAUAAGACAGUGAUAAGAAUGUAAAUAAAUAAACCCAAAUGUUUGGUAAAACAAUUACUAAUACCAAUAGAUGAAAGAGGAAGAUACAAUAUCAAUCAUAAAAUAUAAUAACAUAACAUAAUAUGAAAUGGUAAACCAAUUUAGUGUGGUAAAGCUGUAUGAUGGGAUAUGAUACGUACAGCUUAAUAUGAUACAACAUACAUAAAUACAUAAAUAGACUGGAAUAUAUUCAUAUGAACUUGCUCAGACUUGUCAUUAGAAUAUUUGGCUGCUCAGAGGAAUAAAUGAAUGAAUGAAUCCUGUGUUUCAAGCUUGUAUCUGUUCUUGGAUACAAAAACACAGAGAAAUCAGUGAUAAGACAAACUGAAGGCCUUCACUUUCUAUCAUCCCCAUUAAAUGAAAGUUACUAACAUAAUAUAAUAUAAUAUAAUUUUAAUAUAAUAUAAUAUGAUAUAAUAUAGUAUAAUGUAGUAUAAUAUAAGAUAAUACAUGUUGUAACACUACUUAAAUCAUUACCCUGUACUUGUAUUUAAUACUGUAUACUGUUCACAUGCAAGGAAACAAGCACCAGUCCUACCCCAAAACCUAAAGUGCAAUCACAUUCAAUAAGAUUAAUGAUCAAGGGUUAUCAACUUCAUCUAUCUCUUAUUGACUUGGUUAAUGUGCACACAGGGAGAUAUACCAUAUCUCUAUUACCCUGCCAUUCUAAUGGGCCCAGUCCCAUGAGCAGUCAGUGCUCAGUCUCUAUUGUCUCUCCUGAAAAUUAGUGGGAGAGGGAAUUAAGGAACAAGGUUAAUUAAGAAAGAGCUUAAAUCACUGCUGCUAAUCACUGCAACUUACACAGCGAGAGCGAUAUCUACUGUCAUUCUUUUUUUUUUGUUGAGAGCGAGGAGUAGAGAUGAAGCUCCACAGAAAAGUGAUGGAAACAAAAGCUGAGAGGCUCAUUAAACUGCUGACAGCACCUUAAUAUUCUGUUUCUGUAACUGGCAGUACAGGAGUGAAGUGAGAGAGACUGUUUCUCUUCAAAGUUACUCUUCAUAGUUUAAUUAGAGGUCACAAAGUGUGAUGAUUAUGCAUUGGCACUGUUGUGUAAAGACUGACAACUAUGUGAGUACAAGUAGGCAGAUCUGCUAUCAGGAGAUGUGUGAUGAAUUUAGCAAUUACAGAACUUCAUAACAUGCAAUUAUUUCACUCCUGUUCAUAAAGAACUUGUGUAAGCUAAUUUUUCUUUCUCUUUCCAAACUCCUUGACCUCUUGUUUGAGUCAGAAAUAAUGUGGAUUUCAUGUGACAUGUUUACAGUGAGGCAAAAUGACCUUUGGAGUUACAACGAAAGCAAGUCACAUGAGAUUUAAAACUAAGCAUCUCCUCUGGUCCAAGCAGUAAAAUGCUGUUCAGAAAAAUUGGCCCUUAGUCUACAGACUUUGACACAUUUAUUGCUUUAAUUGAAAGCUGCUUGUGUGACUCUUCAUAUUGUGUGUUUGUAUUUCACUGGAUGUGCACUUGUGCAGAAAAAUACCUGACUUCCCCUAGCUGAAGUAAAUUACAGCUUUCCUCAUCUGGAUCUUGUUGUUGCCAGUUUUUUUUAACAAGAAAAGCUAUCAUGCUGCCGGUAUUUGCAGGUGGGAUACGAGGAAUGUUUGGGAACCAAAAAAACAAAACUUGCAGCUUCACUCUCCCCCUCUCUCCUUUCUCAAUGCCGGUAGGGUCGGCCUGUACCAGCUGCUUGAGAAACCCCCAGUGUGGGAAAGUCUCUCCUCGGCUAAUGGAAGACAAACACCUCGGAGAGCGGUGGAGAUAGCAUGAAAACGAUUAAAGCGUGACCCAGAUUCUGUUGUGUCUCUGGCCUUUCACUGCAGUUGACAAAUACAGGAGGGGACCUUGCUAAUGAAAACACCACAGAAAACACUGGAUGCUAAUGAAGACAAACAGCCUCAUCUCAAGGUGCAGCUGGCACCGGCUUUGACAUGAUGCUCAUCAAUGAGACUGUUACAAAAACUGACCUGUGAUGAUUUUACCAAGAGAAGACUGCGAUAACACAAAGUAAAAAGCGUAUUUGAAAUCAUGUCAAACACUCUCUCUUUGAAGAGCCUCACAGAUGCCUUUUUGUAUUAUGAAUGUGAUGGGAGGGCAGCACUUUGAAACAUUAAGCUAUCAUGAACUUUUCUUGACAUUUCGAUGGCUGGCAUUUGCUUUCAACCGAAAGGCUUUAAAUUAUUUUCUUCUUUCACUGCAAACGAUGCAAUUUCUCUAAAAGCAUGAAUGACAUUUCAGUGUAUUCAUUAGUGUCAAGUCUUAAAAUGACAUUCUUAGAAAUAAAUCAAGCUAAUUCAUAGUCAGGCCCAGAACCAUAUUUUAUUUUGUGACAUAACCUGUUUGUUACAUCGGCUACAUCUGAUACUAUUUAUGUCUUCAGCAAUCACAGCUUAGUGCUUGCAGAGCUUUCUCCUUCAUGCUUUUUUGUCUCUGUCAAUAUCUAUUUGUUCAAGAGAAACACUGCAAAAAAGACAUCUUUUUUUCCUCUUAACUCCUUGCUUUAAUCUCUAAGAUAUGGCUCCAACUGAGCUCUCAGCAGUUGAGCACUCCCAGUUGACCUCUGCCUAUGUUCUAAUAGGCUAAUAAGGCAGUGUUUGUUGUGUUUUUUUACCCCCUUGUGUGGCUCACUUUUUCACAGUUGUGAAAGGAGAAACAGAAUCAAAUGAGGAAAAAGAAAGCAGAAGCUGCUUGAUGUUUGCCAGUGUUGCGCAGUGCAUGAUGGGACUCUGGGGAGGGAUGUUCGCAUCCCAGCAGGGGAAGUCAAUCCAUGCAUUUAGCUGCAAACUUGCCCCCGAACUCUGCAGAGUUAGGAUUAGUGCAUUAAUAUCAACAGUAUCUGCUGUGUGGACAGUUGAGCCUUGACCAAGCUGAAGGAGUGUAAAUGUCACAUGUGGUAUCAUACUCUGAUAAUGUACCCUCAUUCUCCUAUCUUCAUCCCAAUUCAACUCCACUCUUCUCCCUCUGGGGUAUGUCUUUCUUUUGAAUACUCAUCUGUUUAAAGAUGUCAGCCCCUCCCCUUUGAAUCACAUCUUUGAUUUUUCAUGCUCUCAUUUUUUAGCCCUUUUUAUUGGUCAAAAAUCAUCAUAAGAUCUAGAUAUUUGCAAAGAAAAACAUCUUUUUCCUAAUUGCUUGUAAUGUAGUGUCUGUAAAGACAAAGCCAGUUUCCCUCUCUAAUUUAAGGACUGUGUUAUCUUAUGCAGAGUAUGUCGAUGCAGAUUGGAUCCAUUCCAUAUGUGCACAUGGCAGUACACUCAAAGGAAUCUCAGUCACAAGGGAUUCAUUUAGCAAGUAUCUCUGCAGCCCAGUGAAGAAUCCAGGAGACCAUUCCACUGUGUUUCCAGCAACCCCUCAUGCCAUACGUGCCUGGAAUAAACAAUAGUGUAAUACCCCUAGCGACCAUUAGGGGGCACUGAUAUAAUACAAGACCCUGCCAAUCUGUUAUGCCUGGCUGGCCCACAGAGAUGUUUGCAGUAAUUUAGUUCCACUGCCAAUAUAUAAAUAGGAAUUCUGCUGUUAGCACAAAAGAGCGGGGGGAAAAAACAUACCACCGAAUGAAUGUGAAUUGCUCCCCUGCUCCCAUUUCAACAUCAAAGUAAUCAAGGAAAACAAGCUUUUUUAAUCGAAAGUAUGCAAUUAGAAUAAAGCAGAACUGUCCUGGCUGUGCACACUGCCAGGAUGAAGAGAUUAAAUGGGUAAAGAGAGGAAUGGGGGAAGCACAAUCAGAGAAGCAGCAGCAUCUAUCGGACUGCAGUCACAGAAGAUAAUGUAACACCUUUCAUUUCAGUCCUGGACAGUUAUUCCAAAGACUGAUUUGAGUCUGGAAGAUUCAAGAGUGGAUGAAACACCAAUCAUGUGAGACUCUGAUGUGGCCUACUUUACACAAAAGUGGAGUGAACACUUCCUUUUAAACUCACAACGCAGAUUUUACAUAUCCGUAUUUUACUGCAUAGUCCUACCCUUAGAUGAAUUACACUGAAUGAAAAUAAGGCUGCAUGUUACAAGGAAGUGUCAAAGAGCAUAGUAAAUAGUCUGUUACAAUACUCAUUUGUUGCUGGAGCAUUACACACACACAUACACACACAUAAGAUACCACUAUCCAUAGGCAUACCCCAUGCUGUCCUAUCCUAUGCAGUGUCAAAACAAUGAUAAACAUUUGGCUGCUAUAGGAGUGCUCUGGAAACCAGCCAAGCUGAAUGGGCUGUUUUGUUUCACUGAACAAUAGCUCUGCUUAAAGUACUUAACAGCUGUGCUAUGCUCUGGGUUCCCCGCAGACUCACAACAGUACAAGUGAGUAGGAAGUGUUGCUUUGUGCGGUUAAUUUCUUCAUCAUUUCUUCUUCAUUAUUUGAUUACUCUCAAAAUGUAGUAUUAAACUCAAUGAAUGAAGGGGGACAACAACUGUAUUAUUUGAGUGUAUAACAUUUAAAUUAACUACUGAUAUUUUUAUAGAAAAAGUCAGACUAUUCCAUAUAUCAUAUCCUCACUCGGCAAAUAUAAAUGUAAAAAUACACAAGUUAAAAAAACUGCAAUAUAUUAUCACGUGUGUGACUUUUCUGUAACUGUAAUUGUCUGAACUAUCCUCGCUUGACAAUCUUCUUCAUCGUAGUGAAAAAUGCAAUCAGCAGAAGCCAUCAUGUACUUAGAAGACAAACAGCCUCUGAUAGCAUCACAGCCUGGAAAGAUGAACACAUAGACUUCAGGUGGACCAGUCACUCAGGCAUCACUGUGUACAGGUCAACUUCACUCUCCACAGGAGUGGACCUAACAGCUGUCAUUUUAGAUCGAUCUCUCCCUGAAGCCCAGUGUAAUAAACACCAGAGAGAGUAUCUGCUUUAGUGAUGUGUGAGUGUAAUGAAGCUCUGUCACAUGACUGACAAGUAAUGUUCCUGCCUCUUCUUUUCUUCUGAUUCACAUGAUCCCAGUGGAGACCUAGUCUAUCUUCUGGCCAUUAUUUUUGAAUUUAUCUUUACAAAGUCAAAUAUGUGGAGCUUCAAAGGAAACUUCAACUCUCCAGAAACAAGCAUUUCCUCAAUUCGUUUUAAGGUUUUCUUUAUGUCAGGUGUUUGUUUUGUUGUAUUUUUCCUUUUUGUUAAGUUUUCUGUUUUCAUCACAGUGGGCAAUUUUUUGUUACCCAGAGCCUACUGUCAAUCACCUGACACCCUUGGGAGGAAAUAGAAGACUCAGCCUGGAAACAAUACCUCAAAAAAUAACUAAUAAUACUUCAACAUGUCACCUCGCUCACUCGUCACAUCCACGCCUUCGUAUUUAGAUUGUUUUCUGCAAAGCUAAGCUUCACUUAAUUUACAGCUGCAGUUUCAGACAGCAAAGUUUGUCUUUUAGAGUCACUCAAAAUGAGAAAAUGUGACAUGCAUCGUAAGAGUGGAACCAGAGGGUUGAAAAAGCCAGCAUGAUAUAGGCCAAAACUCAAGAUGACACUGCUGUUUUCUUUGCACAAAUUCAGAAUUUGAAACUGUAAUGUUCAAAACCUUUACUUGCAAAUUUGGUAAAAUACCUUGUGAGUCCACUCAUACUUGAGUUUUCUCAAUACUUCUACACACACAUCAAUGUUAUCCAUUUAUUCACUGUAUCAGCCAUCUUUUAUUUUGACCUGUUAGUACUUUUCCUGUUGUUGGGGUUCAUCUUCACCAGGGGUGUCAAACGUAUGGCCCGCGGUCAGCAAUAUGAACAAAUCAUAAAAUUCAUGAAUUACAUUUUCUUUUAAAUCUGCAGUACCUAUAUUGUCCGCUAGGGGCGCAGUGUUUAGUCAGAGCAGACAACAUGAUGCAACACUGCAGGGGAUCUAACAGCAGCUGGCAACAAUGUAGCUUCAGGGUCUGUAAGUAACGUUUGGUCCUGUCGUUUUACCCGCUUUUCUGUUAGCCCUGACACCCUUAUCAGCAAAAUUUCUUUGUCGAAAAAGAGAAAAGUGGACAUGGAGUGUUGUACUUUCCAGAAAAAUGGAUCUCUUCCUAUAUUUUCACGGAGGUGAAUGGGGAAACCGGUGUGCCUGGUGUGCAAGCAGCAAGUUUCGGUGCUUAAGGAAUAUAAUGCAAAUGCAAUCAAAGUUCUUGUGUAUCUUGUACACUCACCGGCCACUUUAUUAGGUACACCAUGCUAGUAACGGGUUGGACCCCCUUUUGCCUUCAGAACUGCCUCAAUUCUUCGUGGCAUAGAUUCAACAAGGUGCUGGAAGCAUUCCUCAGAGAGCUUGGUCCAUAUUGACAUGAUGGCAUCACACAGUUGCCGCAGAUUUGUCGGCUGCACAUCCAUGAUGCGAAUCUCCCGUUCCACCACAUCCCAAAGAUGCUCUAUUGGAUUGAGAUCUGGUGACUGUGGAGGCCAUUUGAGUAAAGUGAACUCAUUGUCAUGUUCAAGAAACCAGUCUGAGAUGAUUCCAGCUUUAUGACAUGGCGCAUUAUCCUGCUGAAAGUAGCCAUCAGAAGUUGGGUACAUUGUGGUCAUAAAGGGAUGGACAUGGUCAGCAACAAUACUCAGGUAGGCUGUGGCGUUGCAACGAUGCUCAAUUGGUAUCAAGGGGCCCAAAGAGUGCCAAGAAAAUAUUCCCCACACCAUGACACCACCACCACCAGCCUGAACCGUUGAUACAAGGCAGGAUGGAUCCAUGCUUUCAUGUUGUUGACGCCAAAUUCUGACCCUACCAUCCGAAUGUCGCAGCAGAAAUCGAGACUCAUCAGACCAGGCAACGUUUUUCCAAUCUUCUAUUGUCCAAUUUCGAUGAGCUUGUGCAAAUUGUAGCCUCAGUUUCCUGUUCUUAGCUGAAAGGAGGGGCACCCGGCGUGGUCUUCUGCUGCUGUAGCCCAUCUGCCUCAAAGUUCGACGUACUGUGCGUUCAGAGAUGCUCUUCUGCCUACCUUGGUUGUAACGGGUGGUUAUUUGAGUCACUGUUGCCUUUCUAUCAGCUCGAACCAGUCUGGCCAUUCUCCUCUGACCUCUGGCAUCAACAAGGCAUUUCCGCCCACAGAACUGCCGCUCACUGGAUAUUUUUUCUUUUUCGGACCAUUCUCUGUAAACCCUAGAGAUGGUUGUGCGUGAAAAUCCCAGUAGAUCAGCAGUUUCUGAAAUACUCAGACCAGCCCUUCUGGCACCAACAACCAUGCCACGUUCAAAGUCACUCAAAUCACCUUUCUUCCCCAUACUGAUGCUCGGUUUGAACUGCAGGAGAUUGUCUUGACCAUGUCUACAUGCCUAAAUGCACUAAGUUGCCGCCAUGUGAUUGGCUGAUUGGAAAUUAAGUGUUAACGAGCAGUUGGACAGGUGUACCUAAUAAAGUGGCCGGUGAGUGUAUGUGCACUGCAGACGCGGUAGUUCUUCUGCCUUAGCGUCUCAGUCUGAUUGCAUUUCCAAGAAGUAAUAAUAAUAAUACAAUUAAUUUUCCGCUGCGCUCGGUGAUCGACUUGUCAGGGCUCCUCCACAAACAAGCGGCUGCUGGAGGAGAGUGGGUGAGUUGUGUUCGGUCUUUUUGCUAAAGAAACCAGGCGUAGCUUUAAGAUGUUUGACGGCUAGCACUAUGGCUGGGACUGUUGAUGAAGUUAAGUGCUGUUCUGAGCAUUAUUUGUGGCUACGAGUGGCUUUUUUGGUUGCGGUUUGCACAUGGAGAUGUAGACUGCUGUGUUUUGCUAUAUGCGGUCAUUACUCAAGUUGGUAUAACUAGAGAAGCAAGCAGUCAGCAACAUUAAUCUCUCUAGGGAGUGUCUAACUCGGUGUUAUGUUGUGUUUGACCAUAAUUUAAAUUUACGCUGGAAUAUCCCUUAAAGUUAAAGGCAUCCUCUUGAAUUACCAUGAUUAAUUUGAAGGCUGAAAAACCUUAAUAAUAUGCUCCUGUUGUAAGCGUUAAACCCCCAAGAUGAGCUGGUACCUGGUUCACAUCCUUAUAUGGGGCCUUCCCAUGCCAAGCAAAUAUUAUCUUUGGAAACCAUAACUACACAGGGUCCAUGCUUUGAAUCAUCAUAACAUCAAGUUUAGAUAAACUCGUAAAAUGAGGUCUGCAAAGCAGCACCUCAGAGCUGGCCUUUAAGUAUGAAGAGGUCCUGGGUAUAAAUCCCAGCAAAGGUCCACUCAUGUGGUGGUAUGAUAAUUACUGGCUGCUUUGGCUCAACCCCUCUUCUUAAGGAACUUUCACAAAGGGGAUAGAAUAAAUAAAAACCGAUGAACCACUUGGCUGUUCGUGUUCAGACAUGUAGCUUACUCUGAAAACUGGAAAAUUCUCAGGAGUUUUGUGAAUAUAUGAGUACAGGUCAAGAGUUAUGCGGCAAUGCAUGUAAAGGUUCACCACAGAUGACGCACACAGACUUGAAAUACUCCUGCACAUAAUUAAGGUAUUAUUCCUGAUGUGAACCGUGUCAGCAAAAGCUAAAUGGUUGGGUUCAUGUUUUUUGUUCAUCACUGUUAGGGACCAAGCAGGAGGGCUUAAAAAAGAGAUUUUUUUUUCUGGGUUUUUAUUUGACCCAAAAGAAUAAAAAGGUGCAAACCAAAUUUGUAAAUACUAAGCCUAUUAAAAAGUCUACAAAAUGAACAGUGCAACAGGGGGAAUAAAGCAAAAGUAACUGAACUCAACCCCCUAUGACACCAGAGCAGUGCUAUCUUCUGAUGUGUUGGCUCCAGCAUAAUGGUGUGACUGGCCCCAACUUCUGCUCAAACCAGAAAAUGCCAUACCUGGACAGCUUUGUAAGUCAACCACAAAGAAAUGAUGACUUUAAUAACAAAUAUGUGUUCACUACAUAAAAAAAAAAAAGUUGUAUUUCAUUUGAUACUAGUGUUGGGUGAUAUGACGGUAAAUACCGUGUGACGGUAUAAAAGUGUCUACUGGUUGUGCAGAGUUUGUUCGCUCCGUUUGAUUGGUCAGGUUUGGGUGCGCUCCCUAUAAUGUGUCCCUCUGCGUGUCCAGCAGACUGCUUGGCAUAGUUCAGACAAAGGAGAAACAGCUUCACUGGUGGUGGUCAUGGCAGACACGGAGAUGAGUGGCAGUACCGAGCAAACGGAGGCAGCCCGACCCACCCAACACGAGGGAGAGGAGGAGGAACUUGUUCCGAAAAAGGGCGUGAGUCACGACAUUGGUUGUCUGGAGAUUCUUCGGAUUUAGAAAAUGAAGGACAAUGAUCAAAAAACAAAACUGUGUAAAAAGUGUUGUGUGGCUUUCGUUGCUGGAGGACGAAAUGCCAGCAACCUCUUCCAACACCUAAAGAUGAAACAUGCCAAGCUCCAUUAUCAGAGCCAAA
rnacentral:lncRNA from 1 species